UACGAAGGGGGCUAGCGUUGUUCGGAAUUACUGGGCGUAAAGGGCGCGUAGGCGGUGUGUCAAGUCAGGCGUGAAAGCCCCGGGCUCAACCUGGGAACCGCGCUUGAGACUGGCACGCUCGAGUUCGGGAGAGGAUGGUGGAAUUCCCAGUGUAGAGGUGAAAUUCGUAGAUAUUGGGAAGAACACCGAUGGCGAAGGCAGCCAUCUGGACCGAUACUGACGCUGAGGCGCGAAAGCGUGGGGAGCAAACAGG
rnacentral:rRNA from 1 species